rnacentral:rRNA from 1 species
AGUGAACGCUGGCGGUAGGCCUAACACAUGCAAGUCGAACGGCAGCACAGUAAGAGCUUGCUCUUACGGGUGGCGAGUGGCGGACGGGUGAGGAAUACAUCGGAAUCUACUUUUUCGUGGGGGAUAACGUAGGGAAACUUACGCUAAUACCGCAUACGACCUACGGGUGAAAGCAGGGGAUCUUCGGACCUUGCGCGAUUGAAUGAGCCGAUGUCGGAUUAGCUAGUUGGCGGGGUAAAGGCCCACCAAGGCGACGAUCCGUAGCUGGUCUGAGAGGAUGAUCAGCACCACUGGAACUGAGACACGGUCCAGACUCCUACGGGAGGCAGCAGUGGCGACUAUUGGACAAUGGGCGCAAGCCUGAUCCAGCCAUACCGCGUGGGUGAAGAAGGCCUUCGGGUUGUAAAGCCAUUUUGUUGGGAAAGAAAAGCAGCAGGUUAAUACCCCGCUGUUCUGACGGUACCCAAAGAAUAAGCACCGGCUAACUUCGUG